ensembl:lncRNA
ACUGCAUUGCAGUUCCUUUUCAGGCUGCCACGGUGGAAUAAAAUCAUAGGCACCAGACGGGUGGGGAAAGAAGGACGUUAGGUGCAAGUGAAAGCAGAACGCGUGAGAGUUGUUUAGGUUAGAAUGGGAUGAGGUUUGAUUUGAGCAACGAGGGCUGGCAGGGAAAGAUGGUUAAAAUCACUUGUGAACAUGGCUGUUGUUUGUGCCAGAGCUGCUGCAGAGAUUUUAUCGGGAAAGCAGAGAGCACUCAGUGCAAUGCAGGGUGUUGUCGGGGUGUUCCCCAUGCUGCCAUUGAAUGCCAGCAGUUCUGAAGGGGUUGUUCAGAGCACGGCUGUGCUCCUCACUGUGUGAUCAUCUGCCGCCCUGCCAGCUGUGCAUGUGAGCGUACAGCAGAAUGUGAUCUUCAGAGCAGGGAGCAGUCUUUGAGAAGGUGAAGACUGCACUACUUCUUAUCAGUCUGCCCACAAGAGUUCUUCUUUUUCCCAGUCCUUCUAAGUUUUUAAAUGCUUUCUGAGGGUUUUGAGAUGCACGGCUGGAUGCUACCAGUGGUAAUGCCACAGGCAGAAGAUGAGGCUCCAGGAGGAUGGGGAUUUCCACAGAUUGCAGCCAGUCCUUUACUCGCAGCUUCUCUUACUGAAAUUGUGGUGGGAAUCAGUUUUGUAAAGUUCAGCAAACAGCUGUGCAGUGAUCAAAGCACCAUUCUGGAAUGAGAUAAUCACAACUGUGCUCUAUUUGUAAGGUAUGCGUUGAUGUUUUCACAAAUUGUUUAAGGAGAGCUGCAGUGUUGUAAUAAUUAUUGCAGUUUCAUCGUUCUUGCAUAUGAAUUGCAUGCUUUUCCCAUCAGAUUAGGGAGGAAGUUCAGUCCCGGUCUACAGCUGCUGAAGUGAGUAAUACAGCAACUCUUUAAGGUCAUAUUGGUUUUUAGUUCAUCCGCUCCUCGGGCUCGCAGAGCUAACCUAACAAUCGGGUGCUGUUAGAAACUGAGGGCUGCUCUUUGUAACUCACUCUGUAGAGCCCAAGUUCAGUGAUCAAUAAGGAAUUUGCAGUAGCAGAUUGGAUUGUAGAUCGGGUACCAGACUCCACGAGAUGUCGCAGGUGAAGUAUGUGAUCAGUCUACAACAAUUAAGCAGAUUUAUCUUCCAGUCUAAAUAGAGAAAUCUUGAUUGAUAUGCUUUUAAAAGCUGUUUUAUUCCAUGCCUUGAAAUGCUGGGGAGGAGGGAGAGACAGAAAGACCAUGUGCUGUUUUUAUAAGGUUAAUUGCUUUUUGAUUUGUAAGUGGAAUGUAGAAAUGUGUGUGAUCCUCUAACUCACAGAAGUGUCUCAGGGAAUUUUAUACUGUAAAAUCUCUCAAUCCUCACAGAAUGGUGUAACUUUGUAUUAAUUGUGUAGAUUAACAAUAAAAUCAUAGAAAAGAAGU